UAAUGUUGUUUGGCGCUUACUAAAAUUUUAAUGUAAAUAGAAAUUUGGUGCUAUAAUUUAGGGCUAUCAAAAUAAACCCGUUAAGGCUAAAUCCGCCCAACCCGUCCAAACUUGUUUGGGUUGGGUACAAACUAAUUUCUAACUAGGUAAGAUUUAAGCCCAUUAAACCUGACCUGUUAAAAAACAAUUCUCACCCAUUUCAACCCUUAAAAUACCCAUUUCAAUCUGUUUUCCACCGAGGAAAAAAUUAACCCGUUUCAACCCUUAAACAGUUAAACUCCAAGACGUAAAUUUGUGAACCCAUAGCAAAUCAGCCACCGUCGAUGAAACUCCACAUUGUAGGAACACAUUUUCGGCAGUUUUAUUAUUUGUUAUGGAUCAUAACGAUGAAGCUUCUAGCUUUUCAAGUUCAUCAAAACGGAAAAGAAGAUCCGAAGCAUGGAAAUUUUUUGAGGAGUUUCCACAGGAUGACAAUGAAGAUAAUAGAUUACGAGUAAAAUGUAAAAAAUGUGGAGUUAUCAUGUGGGCUGACCCAACUUCAGGAACUUCAAAUUUAAAUCGUCAUCACUUGAAACACCUAAAAGAUGAAUCUCAAUCCCAACAAGGUACGCUAGUAGAUCACAAAUUAUAUCGUGAAAAGAUAGCGAAGGCUAUAGUUAGACAUAAUUAUCCAUUUAACUUUGUGGAGCAUGAAGAGAUUAGAGAUAUUCAUUCUUUUUUAAAUCCUUGUAUUAAGAACCUUUCAAGAAACACGACAAAAGCUGAUGUUUAUAAAUUGUAUGAGGUUCAUAACAAGAUAAUCAAAGAUGAACUUGUUGGUAUUCCUAGAAGAAUAUGUUUGACAUCUAAUUUAUGAAGUUCAAUCACCACUGAUGGUUAUAUGUGUGUCACAGCAUAUUAUGCUGAUACAAAUUAGAUUUUGCAAAAGAGAGUUUUGAUAGUUUGUCAUACUCUUUCUCCCCAUCGUGGUGUCAUUCUAGGUCCAAAAUUGAUCAGUAUGCUUACAGAAUGGGGAAUUGAGAAAAAGGUUUUUUCGAUAACUUUAGAUAAUGCACGAUAUAAUGAAGGUGUUAUGGAUAGGUUGAUCGAAUAUUUUAAGUUGUUGGAUUUUAUACUUGUUGAUGGGAAGUUUGUGCAUAUUUGAUGUACAAACCAUAUUUUGAAUUUGGUUGUCAACGUAGGUUUGAAGAUAAUUAAAACUGCGGUAAGUAACAUAAGGGAAAGCAUAAAGUAUGUUAAAGGUUCCGAGGGAAGGAAAAUAAAGUUUGUAGAGUGUAUUAAGAACCUGGCUUAAAAUUGAAUGGGAAGGUGUAUCAAGACGUGCCGAUGAGAUGGAAUUCCAUAUUCUUGAUGCUUGAUAGUUCUAUUCCUUAUCGUCGAGCAUUUUUUGAUUUAAGGUACUUGAUACUGAAUUUAAAUGUUGUCUCUCCAAAGAUGACUGGGUUAAAGCUACUCGAAUUGCUAAGUUUUUGAAGCCUUUCUAUGAAGUCACUACUUUAUUUUCAGGAAAUUAUUAUCCUACUGCUAACAUGUAUUUUCAUAAAGUUUGGAAAAUUCAUAUGAUGAUAAUAGAAUAGAAGUAUAGUGAAAAUCCUCAUAUUAAGGCAAUGGCAAAGGAAAUGGAAAUUAAGUUCAAAAAGUAUCGGCAGGAAGACUAUAGUCCAAUUGCUUCAAUGGCGUUAGUUCUUGAUCCUCGGUACAAGUUAAAACUUGUAAGUUUUUGCUUUACCAAAUGUGAUCCAGUCAUUUACAAUGAAAAGGUAAAAGUUGUUAAGUGUAAUAUGCAUGCGUUAUUUAGAGAGUAUUUGAAAAAUUCAUCGGUUGAUGUUGAUAUGGUAGAAAGUAGUAGUGGUAGAGAUGAUAUUGAAGUGGUGGAUGAAAUGGAUGAGUAUGAUACUUUUGAAAGUCAGUCGGAACUUAGUCCAGAAAAGACACAAUUAGAUUUUUACUUGGAAGAACCCGUGUUGGUUCGCAAAGAAAAUGAAGAUCUAGAUGUACUUAAGUUUUGGAAAGAUAAUAGGAUUAAGUAUUCGAAACUCUCACUAAUGGCACGAGAUUUGUUAAGUAUUCCUAUCACCACUGUUGUAUCUGAGUCUGCUUUCAGCAUUGGAGGUCGCGUUAUUGGUAAAUAUCAAAGCUCAAUUUUCCCUGAAAAUGCAGAAGCAAAAUUAUGUUCGCGAGAUUAGAUCUAUGGUCAUCAAGGUAAAGUAUUAUCGAAUCAUAUCAAUUUUUUUCUUAUAAGAAAACAUAAUAUGUCUUGGCAGUUUGUCUCUAACCUUCGUGUUUUUAGCUUCUGCCAACUCUGAAGAGGAAGAUGACAUUGCAAUAGAUGUAAGUGAAGUUGCUGCUCAGAGAUUUAAUUAGCUUGGUGAAUGUGUGCAGGAGCUGGUAAAAAAAGAAAUUAGGAAAACCGAUAUUGGUGGCUUCUCAAUGUUGUUUGUCAUACUGAUUGGUCUUAUUGGUGUUUUGGUUGGAUAUCUGAUCAAGAAGACGUAGUUGGAAGGAUACGCUCUCUGAUUCAUUAGUUGCAUUCCCAGAAAAAAUUGAUGGCGUUGGAGAAUUUUAUUUUUCCCUUUGUUUAAAGACUUGUGCAUUAGAAGCAGGCCAUUAUGGAAUCAUCUAUAGUGUAAAAAUCUUUUAGUCCAUUAUCGGUAUUAUGGACAUUUGACGACUUGACUUGACGGAUCUGUGGGUGUACUGAUGGACCUUCUAUUUAUUUUUCUGGAUAACUUGUCAAUGCUAUUCAGUGUUCUUAAUGAAGCACCCAAUAUUCAAGAUUA